rnacentral:rRNA from 1 species
AUUGAACGCUGGCGGCAUGCCUUACACAUGCAAGUCGAACGGUAACAGGUUAAGCUGACGAGUGGUGAACGGGUGAGUAAUGUAUCGGAACGUGCCCAGUCGUGGGGGAUAACUGCUCGAAAGAGCAGCUAAUACCGCAUACGACCUGAGGGUGAAAGCGGGGGAUCGCAAGACCUCGGGCGAUUGGAGCGGCCGAUAUCAGAUUAGGUAGUUGGUGGGGUAAAGGCCUACCAAGCCUACGAUCUGUAGCUGGUCUGAGAGGACGACCAGCCACACUGGGACUGAGACACGGCCCAGACUCCUCCGGGAGGCAGCAGUGGGGAAUUUUGGACAAUGGACGCAAGUCUUUUCGAGCCAUGCCGCGUGCGGGAAGAAGGCCUUCGGGUUGUAAACCGCUUUUGUCAGGGAAGAAAAGGUUCUGGUUAAUACCUGGGACUCAGGACGGUACCUGAAGAAUAAGCACCGGCUAACUACGUGCCAGCAGCCGCCGUAAAAC